ACACCCCCUUUUUCGGACUGAUAGCAAGGUGCUGCAUGGUUGUCGUCAGCUCGUGCCGUGAGGUGUCAGGUUAAGUCCUAUAACGAGCGCAACCCCUGUGGUUAGUUGCCAGCGAGUAAUGUCGGGAACUCUAGCCAGACUGCCGGUGCAAACCGUGAGGAAGGUGGGGAUGACGUCAAAUCAUCACGGCCCUUACGUCCUGGGCUACACACGUGCUACAAUGGUAGGUACAGAGAGCAGCCACUGCGCGAGCAGGAGCGAAUCUAUAAAACCUAU
rnacentral:rRNA from 1 species